rnacentral:rRNA from 1 species
AUUGAACGCUGGCGGCAUGCCUUACACAUGCAAGUCGAGCGGGGGUAGCAAUACCCUAGCGGCGGACGGGUGAGGAAUACAUAGGAACCUGCCUUUAGGCGGGGGAUAGCUCGGCGAAAGCCGGGGUAAUACCGCAUGAUCUCUGAGGAGCAAAGGGGCGCAAGUCUCACCUUUAGAGGGGCCUAUGUCUGAUUAGCUAGUUGGUAGGGUAAAGGCCUACCAAGGCGACGAUCAGUAACUGGUCUGAGAGGACGAUCAGUCACACCGGAACUGAGACACGGUCCGGACUCCUACGGGAGGCAGCAGUGGGGAAUAUUGGACAAUGGGCGCAAGCCUGAUCCAGCAAUUCCGCGUGUGUGAAGAAGGCCUUCGGGUUGUAAAGCACUUUAGUGAGGGAAGAAAAAGCUUGGCCACACCAAGUGUUGACGGUACCUCAAGAAUAAGCACCGGCUAACUCUGUGCCAGCCGCCGCGGUAA